AUAUGUUCUACUCUCGCUGUAGACCUGCAGGUGACGGUAGAUCCAGAUACAGUGACAGGAAAGCGGAUAAAAGCGACAUGCAGCACCUCUUGCAGAGUGACCUCUCCGCUUUAUUACUACUGGUACAGAAAUGGUCAACUUCUACGGAAUGAACAUGGGCCAGACAUCGACAUUUACUCUUCAUAUAAUUACUAUAAAGGAAAUUACUCUUGUACUAUAAAGGGCUUUGAAAAUAAUCGCUCUACAGCUGUGUGCAUCCUUGGUAACGAGUGUUGGGAUGUGACCUAUUCCUCUGAGACCAUCUGUGCUUUGAAGGGGUCCUCAGUGGACAUCAGCUGCAGUUACAAACACCCAGCAGGCCACACGCCCACGAGCCAAUUCUGGUUUUAUGAGCAACAAUCAAACACAGAGCCUGAGGACCUGAGUCUGGACCACACAUACGAAAGGCGUGUGGAGGAAUUACAGUGACCACACACUGAGACUGAGAGAUCUGACUGACGAAGACGCUAGGGAAUACUUCUUUAGGUUUGAGACGGAUAAAGAACAGAAAUUCAUCAGCAAACCUGGAGUCACGCUUUCAGUCACAAGCCUGCGAGUGCAUGUGACCCCAGCUGUAGUGACAGAGGGAGAGAGUGACACUAACCUGCAGCACCACCUGCAUUCUGAGUAACAACCCCACCUUCAUCUGGUUCAAGAAUUCACAACCAGUGACUACCGUACACACCACCGACAACAAUCAUCUGUACCUGGAUCCAGUGAACAGUAGUGACUCAGGUCUCUACACCUGUGCAGUGAGAGGACAAAUGGGUUCUCCUUCUGCAGCUGUCACUCUCAGUGUCAGAUGUAAGUAGAUCUGUUUCAAGUGAUCUGCAACAGAAACAACAAAUAAGGCACCUUCGACAUUUACCAUUUCCUAAAAUAUCCUCUACAUGAUUUAUAAUUUGAUGUUUGUUUCUGUAGUUUUUCACAUUUUGUUGUUGUUGUUGGUAUUUAUUUAGUUGUUUUUUCACAAUCAUUUGUUUUGAUUGCACCUGUUUUUUUUUUGAAAGACCACCCGGAACACUUUAGUGUCUGUGAGUCCCUCUGGUGAAGUGGAAGAGGGCCAAUCAGUGGUUCUCUCCUGCAGAAGUCAAGCCAACCCACCGGCACACACUUACACUUGGUACAAGAAAAGGGGACCUGAAAGUGUUCUAAAAAUGGUGGCUGAGGAAUUGAACCUGACUUUGACCUCAAGUGACGAGGGGCUGUACCACUGCGAGGCACACAAUGAAGUUGGCUCUCAGAACUCAUCUGUUACUGAGGUCCAUUUUGCAGGAGGACUAAACAUAAAGAGGCUUGUAGGCAUUGGAGCCAUUAUUCUGGCUGUCAUUUUGACUUUGGGACUUUUGCUGAGCAUGUCCUGGGAGAGAAACAGCGGAUCCAAUGAAGACGACAUGAGCGCAGAAAAUAAAACACAAGUGUGUUAAGGCCAUAUAAGUGACAGCAAUAUUACAAUACAAUAUUUCCAUUCCUUACAUCAACUGCUCUCUCAAACCACUAGGCGGAUGCAGCUCCUGUUUAUGCCAAUAUAUCUGCCAUGGCUGUGACAUCUGACGUUGCCAAGAGAGAGAAUGUAGAUGAUGAUGAUGAUGCUGAUGUUGAGUAUGCCAGCAUCCACUUCAAUGCCUUCGACACACAGGAAGCACACUCGAUAAGCAUCAGACCAAGCGCUGCCAGUCGGUCUGAAGAGUACACUGUCAUCUACAGUGCAGUCGGCACUGCAGAACUUGAGCAUAAAGGACUAACAGAGGUUGCUUAAACUCAGCCGAGUGAUGGCCACAGAGGAUGAACAAAAGCUACUGUCAGUGCAUCACUUUAAUGGAUUCUUUCCUUGAUGAACUGGACUGGACUGGAGAUGGUUUAGAAUAGGCAGGUUCUUGGUGUUGCACCGGUAUUUGUUAAUUGGUGAGAAGACAUAAAUUGAUGAGUAUUGUUUUUUGGUGGUGCAACAGAUCCAUUGAGUUGAUCAGGACUGUUUAUGUAAUGCUGUGGACCGCCAGUAAGGGAAGCUCUGAGUUACAAAAACAUUGCCAUUCCUUUCAACUUGUCACAACAAUAUUAUACUUCCAAGACCAGAAUCAGGACCCAAGUUAUUGAAGAU